GUUGUCAUGGCCGAGUGGUUAAGGCAAUGGACUUAAAAUCUUUUGGGAUCUUCCCGCACAGGUUCGAAUCCUGCCGACAUCG
rnacentral:tRNA from 1 species